rnacentral:misc_RNA from 1 species
GUGAAUCAUCAAAUCUUUGAACGCAAAUUGCGCUUCCUAGCAUCCCGGGAAGUAUGCCUGUUUGAGGGUCAGUAUUAACAAAAAAAUCGGUUUGGUUGCACAUUGUGACGUUUCCGGCGUUUGGGUUAUCUUAACUUUUUUGGUUAAGGGGCUUAAAAUUGACCUUUUUUGUGCAUUUUUAGAUGUACUUAAAUUUUUUUUUAUUCGUUUUUUUUUUAUGCAAAAAUUUUAUUAGAUGCGAUCACUUCGUGUGGUUUCGUGUCCAUAUAACUUUAAUGAUCUGCAAUCAAAUUAGGUAGGA